UACAGUCCUCAAUCAAGUAUUAAAUUACAAUUGAAAUAAAUGCUCUGAAGGAGUGGUACAUGGUAGUAUGUGGGGAUAUGUAAAGUAUGAUUGGGAUUAGGCCAGGAGUAGACUAACCACUGGCCCAAACUCAACAAAUCAUAUUUUUUUGCCUGGAAAUCAAAGGUAAUAAUAGCUAACACUUCUAUAGCACUUAUUGUGUUAAAUUAUUUUGUAUAGUUUGGUAGAUUUAAUUCUUCCCACAGCCCUAUUGAGAUAUAUAACAUUAUCACUACUUUAGAGAUGAGGAAAUUGAGACACAGAGAGGUUAAGUAACUUGGUUGAGGUCACACAGCUAGUUAGUGAUGGAACUAGGAUUUAAACCCAGGUAGGCUGUUCCAGAGUCUAGGUCCACUAUCGCUGAGAUUGGGGUGGGAGGGGGCAGCCAUCUCCUACCACCUGGUGGGAAAGGCACAGAAAGCUGGUUUUCACAGAGAGAGAGAAGAAUGAAGACAUGCAGAGAGAAGCAAAAGCAAGUUUCCUUCCCUACAGAGCCACAGUUGUCUCCUGUGAUGUCCUGAGACAUCUUUACCAAGAUCCUCUGAAUGUGACGUGACUUCUCAACACCACCACCAGAGAGGUCUGGAACAGAAUCUGACAGUGAUGAAUCAAUACCAGAGCUCAAGGAACCGGAUUCCACAUAUGCAACCACACAAUAAGCCCAGCUGGCAGCAGCAGCUGCGAUCAAUGAAGAACCAGUCAGUAAAGCAAAACAAAGUCGGAGCGAAAAGACAGCAAGGAUGACUGUGUCCAACGUGCAAGAUGCCUUCCGCACCUCCGAGUGCCAUGUUCUUACCCAACUGUGAUCAAAGCGGGAAAGGUGGUAUCAGGACUCUUCUGCCUCAUCAGCCUCUUUUAUCAGGAAGCAAUCUCUUUGCUAGAAGUUCCUCAGCAGGAUUCUCCCUUACAACUCACUGACCAGAUGUGAAAGAGUCCUGGAGUUUGAGUAUCUGACUUUUGGCUUCUCUAGUUUGGCAAAUGGGCUUAAAGAAGGAGUUUGGGGAAAAAAGUAGCCAACUGAUAGUGCCUGCUACUUUUGUUAGGUAAAAUAAAACAGUAAGUCACCAUUCCCGGAUUUCAUUUUAGUGCAUUUUUAAUAACUCUGUCUUGGAGAAUCUGCCCUCUUAUAUCAUUGAAUAUGUAAAUGGGUGUAAUUCUCCCAGCCAAAGUAGGGGUUGCCAAGUCCGAACUGACCUACAGACAUGUGAAACAUUUAGUACCUUUGUUCUGCUGGCUCUGUUGUCAAGAGCUUUCUGUUCUCAUAUUGUGGCACAAUUUAUAUCAGAAGCUUGUCCUUAAAAGUCCAUAUGAAUAAAAGUUAUUUAUUUUAUUUAUUUAUUUUUAGAGACUAGGUCUUGCUAUGUUGUCCAGGCUGGCCUUGAU